AACGAACGCUGGCGGCAGGCUUAACACAUGCAAGUCGAGCGCCCCGCAAGGGGAGCGGCAGACGGGUGAGUAACACGUGGGAACGUACCUUUUGCUACGGAAUAGCUCCGGGAAACUGGAAUUAAUACCGUAUGUGCCCUUCGGGGGAAAGAUUUAUCGGCAAAAGAUCGGCCCGCGUCUGAUUAGCUAGUUGGUGGGGUAAUGGCCUACCAAGGCGACGAUCAGUAGCUGGUCUGAGAGGAUGAUCAGCCACACUGGGACUGAGACACGGCCCAGACUCCUACGGGAGGCGGCAGUGGGGAAUAUUGGACAAUGGGCGCAAGCCUGAUUCAGCCAUGCCGCGUGAGUGAUGAAGGCCUUAGGGUUGUAAAGCUCUUUCAGCAGGGACGAAGCGAAAGUGACUGUACCUGCAGAAGAAGCCCCGGCUAACUCCGUGCCAGCAGCCGCGGUAACAC
rnacentral:rRNA from 1 species